AAAGUGCAGCCCAAGCCUCGGAGAUGUCCCUGUCCUGAGGAAGGGCAGGUGCCGGCUGAAAGCCAGCCACCGCCGAAGUCAGUAGGCAGGGGAGGGGAAGGAGCAAAGGGCGGGUCCAGAGCCCUGUGCUCAAGUCCUGCCUCGCCCUCAGUGAGCCAUGUCUGACCACCUAUUUCCCUUCAAGUUCCACCGGGACUCCAGGAACACACUUGCAAGGUUAUUACUAGGCUUCGAGUCUCAAACUGCAUCCUAAUCUGUCCUAAUCUGUGAAAUGGAAAGAAAUCAUAUCCACUCUGUGACCUAAUUUGAGAGGCUUAUGGUGGUGCAUUCCUGAAGACCUCGUCAUUCCUGAGAUAUAACACUGAGGGUCAACUAGCAAGCUCACAAUGACAAUGAUGCCUAUGUGUUCGCGUGACGGAAGUCUUGUGUGUGUCCCCCCAUUGACACCCUAAGAAGAGAAACAAGAGUCAGUCUGUGCAACAUGACUAAAGUUACCAUCUCCUGCCCCUGGCCAGGCCUCUCCCCAGGGAAGAUCACAAGAAUGUUAAUUACCACCUCUGUGGAUGCAAAAUGGUGUGUUUACUGAGCACCUGUGACACAGUCAGCACUACCGUAAGUGCUGCUCUGCUCGGCACGGAAUAAGACCUUGCUCCAUCAGCGCCUUGGUGAGUGAGCUGCAUCAGACAAGACAGAAUGCAGGUUUAUGCGUGGACAGAAGUCCGAGAAGCAGCACACAGGGAAACUGCUUCGGAGAGUGAAAGACGGGAAUGAGGGAAGGAGUUACAGACAACCAGCACAGAGGGAGAGGGGCCAGAAGAAACCAGCCGGUGGUUAAAGGGUGACUGAAACUCUGUAAAAACCCUUCGUGCGUGGAUUUUAAACAACACCAAUAUCUGACAUUUAGAGAUGAAAAGAAAUGUAUUACUGCUUGCUAAC